rnacentral:rRNA from 1 species
GGGAUAACUUGGGGAAACCCAAGCUAAUACCGCAUACGACCUACGGGUGAAAGGGGGCUUUUAGCUCUCGCUAUUAGAUGAGCCUAAGUCGGAUUAGCUGGUUGGUGGGGUAAAGGCCUACCAAGGCGACGAUCUGUAGCUGGUCUGAGAGGAUGAUCAGCCACACUGGGACUGAGACACGGCCCAG